UUACUUACCUGGACGGGGUCAAUGGUUGAUCAUGAAGGCCCAUGGCCUAAGGUAGUAACUUCCAUUGCACAUUGGAGGGGUAUGUCUGUCAAAAAUGACAGAGCCUACGUCAUAAUUUAUGGUAGUGGAGCUUGCGUUCGCGCAACUCCUU
rnacentral:snRNA from 1 species